rnacentral:rRNA from 1 species
GAUUAGUGGCGAACGGGUGAGUAACACGUGAGUAACCUGCCCCUCACUUCGGGAUAACCUCGGGAAAUCGUGGCUAAUACCGGAUAUUAGUGUGCACCGCAUGGUGCGUGUUGGAAAGAUUUAUCGGUGGGGGAUGGACUCGCGGCCUAUCAGUUUGUUGGUGAGGUAAUGGCUCACCAAGACGAUGACGGGUAGCCGGCCUGAGAGGGCGACCGGCCACACUGGGACUGAGACACGGCCCAGACUCCUACGGGAGGCAGCAGUGGGGAAUAUUGCACAAUGGGCGAAAGCCUGAUGCAGCGACGCCGCGUGGGGGAUGACGGCCUUCGGGUUGUAAACCCCUUUCAGUAGGGAAGAAGCGAAAGUGACGGUACCUGCAGAAGAAGCGCCG